GACGUAGGGAGCGAGCGUUUGUCCGGAUUCAUUGGGCGUAAAGAGCGCGCAGGCGGUUUGGUAAGUCGGAUGUGAAAUCCCGGGGCUCAACCCCGGACCUGCAUCCGACACUGCCCGACUAGAGGUAGGUAGGGGAGAUCGGAAUUCCUGGUGUAGCGGUGAAAUGCGCAGAAUAUCAGGAGGAACACCGGUGGCGAAGGCGGAUCUCUGGGCCUUACCUGACGCUCAGGCGCGAAAGCUAGGGGAGCGAACAGG
rnacentral:rRNA from 1 species